UAAGGGAGAGCUGUCAGCAUGGCGCUUGCUACCUUGCUGUGGGCAGUUGUGGCCUCUACAUGUCUCGGAUCCAGCCUGGCCCAGAUGGUCACUCAGCCUCAUCCAGAAAUAUCCGUGCAGGAGACAGAGACUGUGACCCUGGCCUGCACAUAUGAUAUCAGAGACAGUCACUAUUAUUUGUUCUGGUACAAACAGCCUCCCAGCAGAGAAAUGAUUCUCAUUAUCCGCCAAGAAUCUUUUAGGCAACAAAAUGCAACAGAUAAUCGCUUCGCUGUGAACUUCCAGAAAGCAAGCAAACACUUCAGCCUCAGGAUCUCAGACUCCCAGCUGGAGGAUGCAGCGGUGUAUUUCUGUGCUCUCUCAGGGGCACAGUGAGAUGAGUG